rnacentral:lncRNA from 1 species
CUUAGUAGCCGCGGCGUCGGGACGAAGUCCAUGGCGAGCGCGGCGGAGCUCUAUUCGGGUGUAGCAGAGCGGAAAGGGAGAAACCGUGGGUGCCUGGGUGGCGCAGCGGUUUGGGCAAUACCCCCGCCGGCCGCUCCUCUGCCAAAUCGGCCGAGCUCCUCUCCCGAAUCAGGUGUAGGCGUCGGCUGCGGAGGCGAGCGGCAGAGCAGCCACGGGCUUAGGCGGCGGUGCAGGCGCAGGCGGACGGGUCUGCGGCCUCCAGAGCGACCUCGACAUCCCGGCCUCCUCGCUGUCGCUCCUCCUGCACGACCGCAACCUGCUGCAACGCUAGCUCGGGCCUCCUCUAAUUGAUGGCGUCCUCCCCCAACGCCAUGGUGCUGCAGGUGCAAGGCCACGCCACAUCCCAGAUUCCUUGCUUGUACGCUGAUUUUUUUUCUGAAAUCUUGCGAUAAUUGAUGGCUGAAAUCUUG